CAGGCAGGAACUUGGCCAGGUGGUGGAAGUGGUAAUAGGAGACCACCACAUCCUUGGGGUUCCUGGCCACGUAGAUCACCUUGGCCUUGCUGCCCUGCAGCCGGGGGCCCAGCACGCGGGCGGGCAGGUGGCUGGUGAUGAGGCGGUGCGUGGCCGUGUCCCGCAGCGAGCUGCGGAAGUGGAUCUGCUCCAGCCAGGGCGCC
rnacentral:lncRNA from 1 species